rnacentral:lncRNA from 1 species
GGGGAUUAACGAUAUCCCCUCAAUUCAAUUACCCCUACCUAGAAGCAUGCAGGAUUAUUUAGAUGCAUUAUCAUUUUUAAGUGGGAGAGCUUUCCAGCAGCCUGAUGGCUCAUACAAAUCCACCCGUGGAGAAGGAUGGGAUGCACACAGCGUUAAUGAUUGUUACCCUAAACUACAAGGCCUAUUUUUUUCCCGCUAACUCUGUGAUAAUCAAAUAAUAAUCCAGCUAAUUACUGACCAGGGAAAGCACAUUGACAGACCUGCCCGCAAACCUGCUGCCAGCACUGCUGUUCCCAAACGGAGAUGGAAAUGGAAGGAGGGAAGGAUCACUUCAGCUGUCAGCAGGCAGCGGCCGAGCAGGCUGAUAAACGUGCAGCAGGCAGCUCGGCGGCCCCCGGCACCCAGCAGCUCCGAGCUGGGCAGUGUCUGCGCCGGAUCCCGCACUGAGCGUGGAAGACGGGAUAACCCAUCGCUUUAUUCUUUCAGACGGGUCUCCCACGCUCUGCCGCUCCGCACGUUGGUGGCAUUGUCCCCGGCUCCGGGCUCCAAGGGGUCCACUUCCAGAUAAGAGUUACCGGCAGGGAGGGCGCGCAGCGG